GACGUAGGGCGCAAGCGUUGUCCGGAUUUAUUGGGCGUAAAGAGUUCGUAGGCGGCUUGCCACGUCUGCCGUGAAAACCAGCAGCUUAACUGUUGACUUGCGGUUGAUACGGGUUGGCUGGAGUUCGGUAGAGGAGACUGGAAUUCCUGGUGUAGCGGUGAAAUGCGCAGAUAUCAGGAGGAACACCGGUGGCGAAGGCGGGUCUCUGGGCCGAUACUGACGCUGAGGAGCGAAAGCGUGGGGAGCGAACAGG
rnacentral:rRNA from 1 species